AGAGUUCGAUUCUGGCUCAGGACGAACGCUGGCGGCGCGCCUAACACAUGCAAGUCGAACGGAGUCAAGAGGAGCUUGCUUUUCUUGACUUAGUGGCGAACGGGUGAGUAACGCGUGAGUAACCUGCCCUGGAGUGGGGGACAACAGUUGGAAACGACUGCUAAUACCGCAUAAGCCCACGGCCCGGCAUCGGGCUGAGGGAAAAGGAUUUAUUCGCUUCAGGAUGGACUCGCGUCCAAUUAGCUAGUUGGUGAGGUAACGGCCCACCAAGGCGACGAUUGGUAGCCGGACUGAGAGGUUGAACGGCCACAUUGGGACUGAGACACGGCCCAG
rnacentral:rRNA from 1 species